UACAGAGGGUGCAAGCGUUAAUCGGAAUUACUGGGCGUAAAGCGUGCGUAGUCGGCUUUUUAAGUCGGGUGUGAAAUCCCCGGGCUCAACCUGGGAAUUGCAUUCGAUACUGGAUAGCUAGAGUUCGGCAGAGGGAUGUGGAAUUCCAGGUGUAGCGGUGAAAUGCGUAGAUAUUCGGAAGAACACCAGUGGCGAAGGCGACUUACUGGACACAUAUUGACGCUGAGGUGCGAAAGCGUGGGGAGCAAACAGG
rnacentral:rRNA from 1 species